rnacentral:rRNA from 1 species
CCUACGGGGGGCUGCAGUGGGGAAUAUUGGACAAUGGGCGAAAGCCUGAUCCAGCCAUGCCGCGUGUGUGAAGAAGGCCUUCGGGUUGUAAAGCACUUUCAGUGGGGAAGAAAGCCUUGGGGCUAAUACCCUCGAGGAAGGACAUCACCCACAGAAGAAGCACCGGCUAACUCCGUGCAAGCAGCCGCGGUAAUACGGAGGGUGCGAGCGUUAAUCGGAAUUACUGGGCGUAAAGCGCGCGUAGGCGGUCUGAUAAGCCGGUUGUGAAAGCCCCGGGCUCAACCUGGGAACGGCAUCCGGAACUGUCAGGCUAGAGUGCAGGAGAGGAAGGUAGAAUUCCCGGUGUAGCGGUGAAAUGCGUAGAGAUCGGGAGGAAUACCAGUGGCGAAGGCGGCCUUCUGGACUGACACUGACGCUGAGGUGCGAAAGCGUGGGUAGCAAACAGGAUUAGAUACCCCAGUAGUC